CAUGCCGUAAACGAUGUCUACUAGCCGUUGGGGCCUUUGAGGCUUUAGUGGCGCAGCUAACGCGAUAAGUAGACCGCCUGGGGAGUACGGUCGCAAGACUAAAACUCAAAUGAAUUGACGGGGGCCCGCACAAGCGGUGGAGCAUGUGGUUUAAUUCGAUGCAACGCGAAGAACCUUACCUGGUCUUGACAUACAGAGAACUUUCCAGAGAUGGAUUGGUGCCUUCGGGAACUCUGAUACAGGUGC
rnacentral:rRNA from 1 species